rnacentral:rRNA from 1 species
CCUACGGGUGGCAGCAGUGAGGAAUAUUGGGCAAUGGACGAGAGUCUGAACCAGCCAAGUAGCGUGAAGGAUGACUGCCCUAUGGGUUGUAAACUUCUUUUAUAUGGGAAUAAAAUGUUCCACGUGUGGGAUUUUGUAUGUACCAUAUGAAUAAGGAUGGGCUAACUCCGUGCCAGCAGCCGCGGUAAUACGGAGGAUCCGAGCGUUAUCCGGAUUUAUUGGGUUUAAAGGGAGCGUAGGUGGAUUGUUAAGUCAGUUGUGAAAGUUUGCGGCUCAACCGUAAAAUUGCAGUUGAAACUGGCAGUCUUGAGUACAGUAGAGGUGGUCGGAAGUCGUGGUGUAGCGGUGAAAUGCUUAGAUAUAACGAAGAACUCCGAUUGCGAAGGCAGCUCGCUGGACUGCAACUGACACUGAGGCUCGAAAGUGUGGGUAUCAAACAGGAUUAGAUACCCCAGUAGUC